GGCCGAGUGGCGGAAUUGGCAGACGCAAGGGAUUUAAAAUCCCUCGGGGAGUUAUCCCCUUACGGGUUCGAGUCCCGUCUCGGCUA
rnacentral:tRNA from 1 species